rnacentral:tRNA from 1 species
UGGAAGGUGGCUCAGGGGUAGAGUACUUGUCUUGCAUGCAUGAGGACCUGGGUUCGAUUCCUCAGCCCCAC